rnacentral:rRNA from 1 species
CCUACGGGAGGCAGCAGUGAGGAAUAUUGGUCAAUGGGCUUACGCCUGAACCAGCCAAGUCGCGUGAGGGAAGACUGCCCUAUGGGUUGUAAACCUCUUUUGUCAGGGAGCAACGCCGGCUACGUGUAGCCGGACUGAGAGUACCUGAAGAAAAAGCAUCGGCUAACUCCGUGCCAGCAGCCGCGGUAAUACGGAGGAUGCGAGCGUUAUCCGGAUUUAUUGGUGUUAAAGGGUGCGUAGGCGGAAUGCCAAGUCAGCGGUAAAAUCGCGGGGCUCAACCUCGCUCCGCCGUUGAAACUGGCGGUCUUGAGUGGGCGAGAAGUAUGCGGAAUGCGUGGUGUAGCGGUGAAAUGCAUAGAUAUCACGCAGAACUCCGAUUGCGAAGGCAGCAUACCGGCGCCCAACUGACGCUGAAGCACGAAAGCGUGGGUAUCGAACAGGAUUAGAUACCCCGGUAGUC